AGAAGCAUCCAGACUGGCCCUGAAGCAAGAGUAAAUCUGGUAAGACGGAAGAAAGAACUGCCACGGAGAGACACCAGUUGAAAGAGGAGGAAUCCCAAGUCCUGUGGAUUCUGACCGACAGACCUGCGAUGCCUGGCUUGCUCUUCAUUGCUGCUUUGAACUCAGACUGAGUAAAGACCUCAAAGUAUUCUGCAAAGGCACCAAGAAUUUCUUCAGGCCAAGAUGUCAUCUCUCACCUGCUACUAAUGCACCUUUGCAAUUACAUCUUCUGCGGAUUUUGUGAUCUUUCAGAUGUACAGAGGUAGAGCCCAGAGGCUUACUGCCUAGCCUGGAGGGAGCCACUCAGCCACCCUGGGGAGUCCUGCUGGCCACCAACUUUCUUUGGAGCGCUCCUUCUACAACCACAGUCAGCCCAGGACCAUAUAGGCAGACUGUGCAAGAUUCCAGGGGCUUUUCCACUCCUGUGCACCAGGGGGCACCGGGAAGGAGGCAAGAGGCUCAGGAGGGGAUAUCUCAGCCUUCUUUUCCAUGGCACUCAGAGUGCUGGGACCUGGCUGGGAUUACACAGUGGGUUCUGCGGUGCGCUCAGUCCCUAGCUGCCUGGCAACUUCCGCUGCUUUCAAGGUCUAAUUUAGGAAUCUACGGAAAUGAGCAGAACACUGAGAGAGAGACACACCAGUGCAUUACAGAGGGACUCGCGGUCCACAGCCCACCGAAGCUGUUCCGAGCAGGGAUGCAGGGGGAAAUGCUCCGACAGGAUGUGUAUAGUUUAGGGUUCAGAGGGGUCUCUCCUGGCAAGAGAGACCAAACCUUAUAAUUAAGUAUCUCCGUUUCCUUUCAGAUAUCAACAGCAACAAUAACCACGUUCUCCGCACUGCCUAAACAGGACAAAUCCUGGGUUAAGCAGUUCCUGGUGGUCUUCACACACACACACACACACACACACACACACACACACACACAUGCAGAGAGGGAAAAAAAAAUCUGCCUGCAAGCAGGCCUCUCCAGCCUCCCAGCACCUCCCCCUCCCCCUUGCGCCCUCCCCUAGUCCCCCUCCUCAUUUGCAAUUAGGGGUAAUCUUUUGUUGCCUGGAAAGUGUAAAAAUCACCAGCUUUUCUUUUUGCAUGCAUAAUAUCCAUUUCCCCUCCAAGUGCGCUAUUUGGUUAGGGAAUUACAUCUAUUUACAAGAGUAGAUGUUGCACAAAGGUUGUGUUUAUGUGGAAAAUUAUAUCGGUGACACGGGCUGAUUGGCAUGUGGAGGCUGGGAGAGCAAGCAGAAGAGGCCUCCUCAUCAGCUUGGAAUAACAAAAUGAUUGUAUUUUCAGCAAAGCUAAUUGAUCACACACCUCGCUGGGCUAUCUGUUUACUCAAAGGCCAUCCAGGCCCUGGGAAGGUGGAAAGGAGAGACCAGCGGGCAGUGGUCACUACCAGACGGGGCCAGCCAAGGCUCUAGGGGUUGAGAUAGGAGGUAGAAUGAGUGGCCAGAGCAAACCUCUGGGUCCUGCAGUUGUGCGGAGAUGGGCAGAUUCAGUGUUCUCUGAAAAAAACAGGCCCAGACCCAACACUAGAAAUUUUGUCCUUAUAAAUAAAUAAAUAAAUAAAUAAAUAAAUAAAUAAAUAAAUUCCUGUGAGCAUCAAAGCUUCUGGGAAGGGAAAGGCAGGCCAGAGCAGGACCCAGAGCCACUGCCUAGAAAAGAUACAUUCAUUCCCUCCCCCUUGUCCAUUUGGGAAACCAACUCCCUUUCAAGCCGAUACUGAGCAGAUUGCAUUCGUCUGGUGGAGCAGAAGCUCCAGAACCCUGGCUCCACGUGUAUGUCCUGUCAUCCCAGUACACAUGGCAGAGUUGGGGAUCAGCUAUAGUGGGAUGCCACAGAUCGAGUACAACCAGCUUCCAAAUGUGCCCUGCAGAACAAAACCCCUCUCCAACCACCACGCAGACAGGGACUACCCUCAGGUCCGUGAUCUGCUUCCCUGAUGAAGAUGUGCUGAGACUUCCCCAAACUGACCAGCCUGGCUAGGAGCCCUAGGAGCUCCACAGCCCAAGACCUCUACAAAAGCAAGCAGAGUUCUAUUUCCUCCCUAGUGAAAACUCCAGUUGUGUGGGCAGAAAACAAAGCAAUCGAAUACACAAGCACUUGGGUGAAAAUGACCAGUGACAGUAAAAAUAACUGUUUGGGGACUAGUGUCAGGGCAGAUUCAUUGACCAGCACUUUGCAAAUGUGAAGGUCAUUUAGAAGCCACUGGUCAGAAACAUCACCACCACCUACCCACCCUACGAUGGGCUCACCUGGCUGUCUUGCAAACUUCCCAGUGGAUCCUGUGACUAGUUACUUUUACAGGGAUGUGCAAAGCACAGCUCCCAGCUUGUCGGGUUCUAACUCCGGUUUGGAAUCUUUCCAUUGCUGAUCAAUAUUAGACCUAGUAACUAUUUCCU
rnacentral:lncRNA from 1 species